rnacentral:rRNA from 1 species
GACGAACGCUGGCGGCGUGCCUAAUACAUGCAAGUAGAACGCUGAAGAGAGGAGCUUGCUCUUCUUGGAUGAGUUGCGAACGGGUGAGUAACGCGUAGGUAACCUGCCUUGUAGCGGGGGAUAACUAUUGGAAACGAUAGCUGAUACCGCAUAACAAUGGAUGACACAUGUCAUUUAUUUGAAAGGGGCAAUUGCUCCACUACAAGAUGGACCUGCGUUGUAUUAGCUAGUAGGUGAGGUAAUGGCUCACCUAGGCGACGAUACAUAGCCGACCUGAGAGGGUGAUCGGCCACACUGGGACUGAGACACGGCCCAGACUCCUACGGGAGGCAGCAGUAGGGAAUCUUCGGCAAUGGGGGCAACCCUGACCGAGCAACGCCGCGUGAGUGAAGAAGGUUUUCGGAUCGUAAAGUUCUGUUGUAAGUCAAGAACGGGUGUGAGAGUGGAAAGUUCACACUGUGACGGUAGCUUACCAGAAAGGGACGGCUAACUACGUG